ACUCUCGUAGCUCAGCGGAAGAGCGAGGGUCUUCGAAACCCGAGGUCGUGGGUUCAAAUCCUACCGGGAGUA
rnacentral:tRNA from 1 species